rnacentral:rRNA from 1 species
UACGUAGGGAGCGAGCGUUGUCCGGAAUCAUUGGGCGUAAAGCGCGUGUAGGCGGCCUAAACAGUCUGGUGUGAAAUCUUUCGGCUCAACCGGAAGCGGUCACUGGAUACUAUUAGGCUUGAAUCUGGAAGAGGAGAGUGGAAUUCCUGGUGUAGCGGUGAAAUGCGCAGAUAUCAGGAAGAACACCCGUGGCGAAGGCGGCUCUCUGGAACGCAACUGACGCUGAGACGCGAAAGCGUGGGGGAGCAAACAGG